rnacentral:rRNA from 1 species
UACGUAGGGUGCAAGCGUUGUCCGGAAUUAUUGGGCGUAAGAGCUCGUAGGCGGUCUGUCGCGUCUGCUGUGAAAACUCAGGGCUUAACCCUGAGCUUGCAGUGGGUACAGGCAGACUAGAGUGCGGUAGGGGAGACUGGAAUUCCUGGUGUAGCGGUGAAAUGCGCAGAUAUCAGGAGGAACACCGGUGGCGAAGGCGGCAUCCUGGACCAAUAUUGACGCUGGAGGAGCCGAAAGCGUGGGGAGCGAACAGG